AGGUGUCCGAGGCCGGACGGCCCUCAGAGGCGGUCUCUAGGGAGGCCAGCGUCCGUAAUGACCUGAGCCGGGCAGGGAGAGAGGGCGAGGGAGCCAUGGAGGGAAGCGGAGAUCGGGGAGCCGGCCGGAGAGCGCCGCCUGAUUGACAGCCCGAAAUCUGAUCUGCUGAAAGAGCCUGAGAGCCAAUGGGAGGCAGGGAUCCAUCAGUUUGGCUCGGAGGCCCCUGGAGGAGAAGUGGAGGAAGGACCGCCGAAGCGAGCUCUGUCAGAGGCGCUCUCGGCUUCGGAGGGGGAGGUGCUGGGCGAGGAUUCAUGUUUGGAUUCUUUUGGGAGGGGAGUGGUGGCAGCCCCGCGCCUGGCACGGCCUUCAGGUCGGGAGCCGCUGCGAUCGGCCGGGCACCUCCUCCCCGAUGCCAGCACGGGCGCUAGGGUGCUGAACAGCUCCGCGUAGCCCGCGUAGACCGCGUAGCCAGAGCUGCCCGGCCCAGCCCGGCCCGGCCCAGCAGCAGUCGCCGCCGCCGCCGCCGCCGCCGCCGCAGCAGCAGCAGCAGCAGCAGCAGCAGCAGCAGUCCUCUCCGCCGCCGCCUCGGGAUGGACGGCUUCUAUGACCAGCAAGUGCCUUACUUGGUCAGCACCAGUCAGCGUGGGAGAAGCUGUAAUGAGAAACCAGCAAAUGUCAGGAAAAGAAAAUUCAUUAACAGAGACCUGGCUCAUGACUCAGAAGAACUCUUUCAAGAUCUGAGCCAAUUACAGGAAACAUGGCUUGCAGAAGCUCAGGUACCUGACAAUGAUGAGCAGUUUGUCCCAGACUAUCAGGCUGAAAGUUGUAAGUACAGUGUGACUCAUCUCUUGGAUGCUUCCAUUUCUUCCCUUUCUUUUUCUGCCCUCUCUCCCUCGCUUCUCUGCUUGGUUGCCCUUUUCCUCCUGUUGACUCAUGCCUUUUGCCAGGUCCUUCCUCGCCUCUAGUUGGAUGGGGAGCCAGGAUGAGGGCGCCCUGCUCUGACCAGCUGUGCAGGUGUGCCUUUGAGUCUCUGGGCAUCCUGCCUGCCCACCAGGCCCCCUCCUUUGCGAGGGUCAGAGGGUGUGUGUGUGCACAAUCCCAGGCAGGUUGGGAUGCCUCAGGAGGAGUUUCCCAGAGGGUGUAGCCGUGAUUCGGAGGAGACAGCAUUCUGCAUGUGAUAGGAAGAAGGCCUUUGGGGUCCUGGAAUGACCCCAAACCAUCAGUCUUCCCCUUCACGGGCCUUCCUGUGAAUAACUUGUGUAGGAGUUUGCCUGGAUUUCUUGCACUGAGUCCCCAAAUCCAGGACUCAGUAGCUGCUUGAAACCUUAUUUCAGACUUCCCGUUCUCUGUGGUGGAGUUGCCACCAGGCAGUAGAUGGCCCAGCCGGGCCAUCAGUUUUGUGCUCCUUUCCCUGAGGCUGGUUCCCAGGAGUAACUCGAAGAGUGGAAGGGAGCAGUGAUGCUUCAGAUGCUUCCUUGCCCAGUGGCUGGUUCCUUUUACUAAUGUGGCACCUGGUGGGGUCUCUUUCUUCUGUCCUAGAGCUCCUGACUUAGACGAAGGUAUUCUCUAAAAGCAGCAACCAGCAGAGUCGGCAGUGCCACUGCCUUAUUUGGGGAAGAGCUCCCAAGAGCCUUUUCUCUGUGUAGCGGAAAUGGUCUGUUGGGCCACUAGGAUAGACUAGACCAUGGUGGCCGUUUCGUGAGAGGAUGGGACAGUGGCACGCAGUUGUGCUCACUACUUUGCAGCUAUACAAAACCACACUCAGUCUUGGUAUGUGGCAAAGCCAAAAGCAUGAAAUAUUAGCAAGAAUGGUUCCUUCCCAUUUGUCAAAGAACCCAGCUCACCCGUAUUAGCAUGUGCCAUUGGAGUCAAGCUCCAGAGAGUCGUUGGCUUAUGGAAUCAAAUGAGAGGAUAUUCAUGAAGUGCUUCGUAAAACAUGAAGGGUGCCAACUGUUAUGACCUAUUAGUCAAGCACAAAGAGACCUUAGAAACCCCACAGUUUUACAGAUGAGUAAAUGGAGGCCCAGAGAGGGUAAGGUCCCACAAAAUGUACAUAGCAGAGCCAGCAUUUGAAUUCAGUUCUUAUGAGGAUAUGCAUUAAAAAUAAUUAACAAAAAAUAUUUAACAAAUUAAAAUACAGUGAAACAGAAAUGAAAGCAAGACAGUCCCUGCCCUCAGGGAGUUUGCUUCUAAUAGGCGAGCUGGCAUUUUCUUUGGGAAAGUUUCAGAGGUGGUUAAUGGAGCUACAGGGGAAUAGGAUGACAUGCCUUCAAGUAUCAUUGUUAAUGGUGAUUUGAUUAGUGAUUCAGAAAUGACAAGUUGGAAAGUGGGGGGUGAGGGUGAAGGGAGAAGCUGACUAUGAGCCCUGGCAUCACACUGCCCAGUGAUGGUUUGGGGAAGAGUUUGGAGAUCUGGUGUGCCUUAUAUGACCCCAGCCACUCAUGCUAAUGCUUUCUUGGGUACUUCAGAGAGAGAUGAGGGGAGAAGGA